UACAGAGGGUGCUAGCGUUGUUCGGAAUCAUUGGGCGUAAAGGGCGUGUAGGCGGUUUGUCGCGUCGGGAGUGAAAACUCAGGGCUUAACCCUGAGCCUGCUUCCGAUACGGGCAGACUAGAGGUAUGCAGGGGAGAACGGAAUUCCUGGUGUAGCGGUGAAAUGCGCAGAUAUCAGGAGGAACACCGGUGGCGAAGGCGGUUCUCUGGGCAUUACCUGACGCUGAGGAGCGAAAGUGUGGGGAGCAAACAGG
rnacentral:rRNA from 1 species